rnacentral:rRNA from 1 species
CCUACGUGAGGCAGCAGUGGGGAAUAUUGCACAAUGGGGGAAACCCUGAUGCAGCGACGCCGCGUGAGUGAAGAAGUAAUUCGUUAUGUAAAGCUCUAUCAGCAGGGAAGAAAAUGACUUUACCUGAGUAAGAAGCCCCAGCUAACUACGUUCCAGCAGCCGCGGUAAUACGUAGGUGGCAAGCGUUAUCCGGAUUUACUGGGUGUAAAGGGAGCGUAGACGGCAGUGCAAGUCUGGAGUGAAAGGCGGGGGCUCAACCCCCGGACUGCUCUGGAAACUGUACGGCUGGAGUGCAGGAGAGGUAAGUGGAAUUCCUAGUGUAGCGGUGAAAUGCGUAGAUAUUAGGAGGAACACCAGUGGCGAAGGCGGCUUACUGGACUGUAACUGACGUUGAGGCUCGAAAGCGUGGGGAGCAAACAGGAUUAGAUACCCGAGUAGUC